rnacentral:rRNA from 1 species
UCGUCAGCUCGUGUCGUGAGAUGUUGGGUUAAGUCCCGCAACGAGCGCAACCCUGACCUUAGUUGCCAGCAUUCAGUUGGGCACUCUAAGGUGACUGCCGGCUAAAAGUCGGAGGAAGGUGGGAUGACGUCAAAUCAUCAUGGCCCUUACGCCUAGGGCUACACACGUACUACAAUGGCAGAUACAAAGGGCAGCUAAGCCGCGAGGCCAAGCCAAUCCCAAAAAAUCUGUCUCAGUCCGGAUUGCAGUCUGCAACUCGACUGCAUGAAGCUGGAAUCGCUAGUAAUCCCGGAUCAGCAUGCCGGGGUGAAUACGUUCCCGGGCCUU